rnacentral:tRNA from 1 species
GGUGUGCCAGAGCGGUCGAAUGGGGCGGUCUCGAAAACCGUUGAGCCGUUUUUCAAUUCUAAGGGUUCGAAUCUUUUCGAGCUCCU